rnacentral:tRNA from 1 species
GCGGGAAUGCCGGAGUGGUCAAACGGGCAUGGCUAAGGACCAUGUGACUUAGUGUCUACCUAGGUUCGAAUCCUAGUUCCCGCA